GGUGUGGCUCAGUUGGUAGAGUGUUUGUCUAGCAUGCAAAAAGCUCUGGGUUCCAUACCCAGUGCC
rnacentral:tRNA from 1 species